rnacentral:rRNA from 1 species
CACUCAUCACCCUGUGACAUACCUAAACGUUGCUUCGGCGGGAAUAGACGGCCCCGUAAAACGGGCCGCCCCCGCCAGAGGACCCUUAACUCUGUUUCUAUAAUGUUUCUUCUGAGUAAAACAAGCAAAUAAAUUAAAACUUUCAACAACGGAUCUCUUGGCUCUGGCAUCGAUGAAGAACGCAGCGAAAUGCGAUAAGUAAUGUGAAUUGCAGAAUUCAGUGAAUCAUCGAAUCUUUGAACGCACAUUGCGCCCGCCAGUAUUCUGGCGGGCAUGCCUGUUCGAGCGUCAUUACAACCCUCAGGCCCCCGGGCCUGGCGUUGGGGAUCGGCGGAGCCCCCCGUGGGCACACGCCGUCCCCCAAAUACAGUGGCGGUCCCGCCGCAGCUUCCAUCGCGUAGUAGCUAACACCUCGCGACUGGAGAGCGGCGCGGCCACGCCGUAAAACACCCAACUCUUCUGAAGUUGACCUCGAAUCAGGUAGGAAUACCCGCUGAACUUAAGCAUAUCAAUAAGGCGGAGGAA